rnacentral:tRNA from 1 species
GCAUAAGUGGUUUAGUGGUAGAAUUUUUGCCUUCCAUGAGGGAUACCUGAGUUCAAUUCUCUGCCAAUGCA